rnacentral:rRNA from 1 species
AUGAACGCUGGCGGCGUGCCUAAUCCCUGCCAGUCGAGCGAACGGACGAGAAGCUUGCUUCUCUGAUGUUAGCGGCGGACGGGUGAGUAACACGUGGAUAACCUACCUAUAAGACUGGGAUAACUUCGGGAAACCGGAGCUAAUACCGGAUGAUAUUUUGAACCGCAUGGUUCAAAAGUGAAAGACGGUCUUGCUGUCACUUAUAGAUGGAUCCGCGCUGCAUUAGCUAGUUGGUAAGGUAACGGCUUACCAAGGCAACGAUGCAUAGCCGACCUGAGAGGGUGAUCGGCCACACUGGAACUGAGACACGGUCCAGACUCCUACGGGAGGCAGCAGUAGGGAAUCUUCCGCAAAGGGCGAAAGCCUGACGGAGCAACGCCGCGUGAGUGAUGAAGGUCUUCGGAUCGUAAAACUCUGUUAUUAGGGAAGAACAUAUGUAUAAGUAACUGUGCACAUCUUGACGGUACCUAAUCAGAAAGCCACGGCUAACUACGUG